UCACAUCUUGAAAUACUGUAAUUGCAGUAGCUCUACAGACGGAUUUUAGGAUGAAGGCCUCCAAGAUACAAGUUUUCUGCAUGUCUGCUGUUAGAACAGUAAUGUUUUCAUGAGGAAUUAGCAAAACUUAAAAAUCCUCUUAGCCAGCAUGUGAGGCAGAAUAAAGAAAAUCAUAUUUGCUUUACUAAAGCUAAGAGAAAGGCAGUUUUGGUCAACUACAUUUUCAAACUCACCAGUGUACUUCUCCAACCCUUCACAGAUUGCACCAGCCUGUACUGAUAUUGAGGAUUGCCCUGACCUAGGUGCAGGACCUUGCACUUUGCCUUACUGGAGCUCAUGAGAUGUGUGUGGGACUGUGUCAAAGGCUUUACAAAAGUCCAGAUAGGUGACAUCAGUUGGUCUUCCUUUGUCCACUGAUGUAGUUACUCCAUUGUAGAAAGCCAUUAGGGUCAGGCAGGACUUGCCCUUAGUGAAGCUGUGCUGCUGUCUCAAUCACCUUCUUGUGCUUCUUCUACUUGCAGUGUUUUUUCCUGUACGUGUUCAAUUAUGGCGACCCAGCAGUGGAUUCCCAGGGACUGAGUGCAAUGUAGUGGGCCAUGGCAGCAAGGAAGCAGCCUUGGUUUGACCUGAGCCCAGGCUGCCUACAUACACCAUCUGCCUGUGCACUGGCAACCUUGGGGAUUGAUUCUGCUGAAGCCUGUGGGCCACCAGCCCUGCCUCAGUUCGUCAUGAUAAGGGCACCUGGAGCAGCUGACCGCUGUGAGAUAACUGGGGUCUACUCGUCUGCAAGCAAGCACCUCCUGGAUAUGCUGAGCAUAGCAGCGCUGUAAAUCUCUAAGGAAACCCCCCAAGAUCAGCCUGACAGCUCUCCAUCGGAGGAGUAGGACAGGCUGGAUGGAAAUAACUUCAAGAAGUUUCCAGCUUUCUCAUGGUAUAGUCUAUGGAUCCUGGUUUCUCCUUCCCCUUCCCAGAAUGCAGAAAACACAACCAGAAAAUUCAGUAUCACAGUAUCACCAAGGUUGGAAGAGACCUCACAGAUCAUCAAGUCCAACCCUUUAGCACAGAGCUCAAGGCUAGACCAUGGCACCAAGUGCCACGUCCAAUC